GUGUCAGCAGCCGCGGUAACACGUAGGGCGCAAGCGUUGUCCGGAAUUAUUGGGCGUAAAGAGCUCGUAGGCGGUCUGUUGCGUCCGCUGUGAAAACUCGGGGCUUAACCCCGAGCCUGCAGUGGAUACGGGCAGACUAGAGGUAGGUAGGGGAGAAUGGAAUUCCCGGUGUAGCGGUGAAAUGCGCAGAUAUCGGGAGGAACACCGGUGGCGAAGGCGGUUCUCUGGGCCUUACCUGACGCUGAGGAGCGAAAGCGUGGGGAGCGAACAGGAUUAGAUACCCUGGUAGUCCACGCCGUAAACGUUGGGCGCUAGGUGUGGGAUCCUUCCACGGAUUCCGUGCCGCAGCUAACGCAUUAAGCGCCCCGCCUGGGGAGUACGGCCGCAAGGCUAAA
rnacentral:rRNA from 1 species